rnacentral:rRNA from 1 species
CCAGACUCCUACGGGAGGCAGCAGUGAGGAAUAUUGGUCAAUGGGCUUACGCCUGAACCAGCCAAGUCGCGUGAGGGAAGACUGCCCUAUGGGUUGUAAACCUCUUUUGUCAGGGAGCAACGCCGGCUACGUGUAGCCGGACUGAGAGUACCUGAAGAAAAAGCAUCGGCUAACUCCGUGCCAGCAGCCGCGGUAAUACGGAGGAUGCGAGCGUUAUCCGGAUUUAUUGGGUUUAAAGGGUGCGCAGGCGGCACGGCAAGCCGGCGGUCAAAUCGCGGGGCUCAACCCCGCCCAGCCGUCGGAACUGCCGGGCUAGAGUGGGCGAGAAGUGCGCGGAAUGCGUGGUGUAGCGGUGAAAUGCAUAGAUAUCACGCAGAACUCCGAUUGCGAAGGCAGCGCACCGGCGCCCUACUGACGCUCAGGCACGAAAGCGUGGGUAUCGAACAGGAUUAGAUACCCCAGUA